AGAGACUGUUAUUUGUCAGUAGUCGUCUACACAAGUCAAGUCAUCGCCAGAAGAACCGUUAACCUAUUCGUCAGUAACUGUGUACACAAAGUCGUCGGAACUACACAUACGGUCAUCAACAGUCGUCGAAGAAACUGGAACAUUUUGCUGUGGCAUAUCAGGACAUCUGUGGCAUUACGUGGGAUACUGGUAGCACCGGAGAACAGAGUCAGAACUGGAAGAGAGGCAGUGGAAUUUGUUGUGAUCUAGCAUAUUCGGGAGUCCGAACAAAGGGAUCUUUCUUAUCAAAAGCUAAGUGCCAUUUUUCUUAUUAGUGUAUGUUUAGAUUGCCCUUAGAAAUAGAUUUUGUCUAAAUUUGGUAUGUUAGCCUGAGUAAAAUCAGGUGGUGCUGAAGCCUUAAACCCGUUCGGGGUAAAGACAUAAUUUAGAUGAAAAGCUAUAUUAUACGUUUAGGAUUGUAAUUUGUUUUGUUUGUGUAAACGUCAUAUCCGUUGUUGCCUAGUUACUUCGUGACGUUAUCAUUGUGUGCCAUAUUGUCAUAUCCCAACCCAUAGCGAUAGUCUCAUUUAAUUAUUUCAUUUGUUUAUAUUAUUUUAAAUUAUUUAUUUUUAUUAAUUUAAUUAGAUCUGUAUUUUUUUUUCACUUAAUGAUAGAAAGUGCGGGUAGGAUUCUUUUACUGUGAAUCAGACUAAAAUAAUUUUAGUUUGAGCGGUUAAAAUCAAAUAUGAUUUUGCCAUGAGAAUAAUGCCGAAACUGGCUAUGUAGUCAAACACUAUCGUCUGGCUAAAUUUAGAUCUACAAAUUGUACAACUCUUUGAUACAUUUGAUUAUCUAGACUCUAAUUUGAGAAUAUUACUAAUUGAAAGAUGAAUGAAGAUUACUACCAGUGAAGAACAUUUGUGAGUGUAUGACGUGCCCAUAAGAUGCCACAUUUUCCUCCAUAAUGAACUGUGUACUAAUGAAGAUGAUUCUGGAAUGUUAUGAUGAACUGUGUACUAAUGAAGAUGAUUCUGGAAUGUUAUGAACAUUGACAUUGAAUAUGAGGAACUGUCAAGUUAGGAUGAAGAUGUCAAGAUGAAGAUGUCAAGAUUUUAUGUUUGUUUGUCUUCCCCUUAAAUUGAAAAUGCCCUUGUAAGACUUGACAGUAGUGGAAAAAUAUUGACAUAUUUUUUUUUCAAGGGGGGGAGGAAUCUGUUAGACACCUUAUUUAUAUAGGUUAGUUAUUUAGCGACGCACCAUAGGAGACGCAUAUUGAACGGGACUAGUGACGUUUGGGAUAUGUUGGGUUAGAGACUGGAAAAUCAGCGAUAGAACAUUCCAGGGUAACGACGUGUUUAGUGACAGAGACUUCUACUGUGGCCUUUUAUCAGAAUAAACCUAUGUACAAUUGUU